GGGAGCGGAUCGUCGCUCGGAGAGGGGCUCUGCGCGGACAGCUCCACGACACUUCGCGCGGAGGCCGCUGCCUUCAAGCUGGCAGAGCAGGGAAGAGCGGCCAGGUGGCCCGGGGCCCCGUGGGGUCAGCCCCGCGGAGGAGGUGACGGGCGCCCACCGAGAGGACGUGGCGGUGCUCCGAAGAGCCCGAAUCGGGUGCACGGUAGCGGGAAGGGGCCGAUCCCCCUGCCGGUGGCUGGGCCAAGCCACCGACUUCCUCCAAGGGAGCGGGACUGGCCGUGGGAUUCAGGGAGACGGAGGGGAGGAGCGGAGCUGGAGCACUGGUGAGGCCCCGGCCGGGGCCCAACUCUGAGCCGCUGAGCGGCCACCGCAGCCCGGCCCCCGCCCCGGCCCGCCUGCCCGCCGCGGUAUUUUCCUCCCAGAUGGAGAGGCUGCAACGCCGUCCAGAGCUGGGCAAGCUCGCGGCAGCUGGACCCCAGGCAGGAGCCAGCUCCAAGGCCGCCUGGGACUGGGGCUUAGGGGGCUGGGCCCCCUUUCGGGGUCAGCAUUGCGGGGUUUUAUUGCCCUUCCUCCUUUAUAGGGAGGUAGGGACGGUGGAGACAUCUUGCUCAGUGGCAGAAUGCCAUCUUAGAGGCUUAAGAGCUGCACGCACGAUUUUAGAGGCAUUACCGAAAAAAAUUUGGUUUUACAGCUCUUAUUUCCUUAUUAGGACUUUCCUUCUUUCUCAACUUUUCCGAGAAAUCCUAAGAGGAGAGAGGCACAGCUUGGCCUAGGGGCCAGUUAAUUCUUCCAGCUUCCACUGCCUCAGUCGGAGAGGUCAGCCUUCUGCUGUGGAAGUAGAGAGAGCUUCUUAACCCGUCACUCGUCGGAGGGAUGUGUGGUACCUGCUUCAGACCAGGGCCAGCUGCCCCAGGCUUGGUUCACACCCUGCACUGCCCCUCACCGGAUGUGUGAUCUUAGGCUACUUCCAGAAUCCCUAAGCUUACUAUAAGCUCGGUGCCUCAGUUUCUUGCCCUGUGGAAAUGGGCUUUAAGACUAGCUGUCUCGAAAUGUUGCUGUGAUGAGUAAAUGAAUUCAGACAUGUUCAAUCCUAAAAACUGUACAGAGCCUACAGUAAGUGCUCAAGAAAAGUGAGUUGUGCCAAUGGCAGACUCCUCUAGCACCAGGUUCCUGCCCACAGCUAGGGGAGGCCUGUCCCAGAGGGUGAGGUGGCCGUGUUGGAAAUUCCCCUGGGACUUGGGGGGAGCAAAGGAAAGCUAUUCAGAGAAGUAGAAGAGAUAACAAUGAAAAGGGGCAGGGGAGAGAGUGAGACAGUUCACUACUAGGAGGGGAGCAGAGAUGUGCAACGGGCAAGAGUCGGGGGAGAGGGGCGGGGGAGCCAAAACAAAAAGCAUGUGGAUCUGCAAGAAUUCUUCAAGGAGCCCUGCCAGUCUGCACCAGGGACCUGCCGCCUGUCUUAAGUUUCCCACCCUCCAAGGGGGUAGAGGUGAACCUUUUGGCCUGCCUGAAAGCAUCUUGUGCACUUUGCUCUUUCUGAUACGUGAAUCAGGAUGUUUACCACACUUGCCGUUCCCCAGAAUCCUCUAGUGUGUGGAAUGAGGGGAGCAGAGAGGGUUCCUGGGAGCAUCAACUACUACUCUCCCUGCAGAAGCAUCUUCCAGACAAGGGAACCUUCUGACAUAGACCUCUCAGACUCAGCACCAUGGGGGGUGGCUCAGAGCAUCAUCUGGGUCCAAAUUAUCAUCCAAAAUACAAGAGUGGUCAUCUUGCUGUCCUCACAGGGACAACUGCCUGCAGUGCCCUGUUGAUUUUCGUGAUUAUAUAGUUGGUGGCCUUUGCCUUCUGAUUUGACUCAGCUAGCUGUGGACAGGGAAUGCGUUGGGUUUUGCUCCCUGCUGACCAUAGCACCCAUCUCAUGCCAGUCACAUGCUAAAUUCUCAAUAAAGAGUUCCUGGAUGAGUUAAUUUUAAAAA